GGUGAAGGAACAGAAGCAAGCCUCUCAAACACAAGAGAAGAAAGUAAAAGAACAAGAAGAGAGUAUUAGUACUCAUGGCUUCUUCAAUGAUAUCAUCAGUAGCACCGGUUACCCGUGCAUCCCCUGCUCAGGCUAACAUGGUCGCGCCUUUCACCGGCCUCAAGUCCAUCGCAUCAUUCCCCGUCACCCGAAAGCUUGAGAAUGACAUUACCUCUAUUACCAGCAACGGAGGAAGAGUUCAAUGCAUGAAGGUAUAUAUCUAUACUACUUAAUACUCAGAUAUAUUAUGUGCUAAUGAGGAACCAGUAUAACAUGGCAGAACAUUUCUUAGUUAGUUAUUGCUCAUUUGCUCUCAAAGUAGCACAAUUCUAAGUCAGAUAAAGCAGUCCUAGGUAACUUUAGAGUGAGUAACUUCAGAAUUUUCCUUGAAUAUGUCAAUAAUAUACAAAAAUUAUGUCAACACCUCGAUUAAAAGAUUGUUUUGCUUGUAUUUUCCUCCUGAGCUGAUCUGAGAAAUUUUGUUCUCAAGUCAAACAAUUAGAGACUUUAGCUCAAGAGAAAUGUCACCCCCUGGCAUUGUAGCCUGCGGGAUGUCCUCUAUAUUUUACCAUAGUAACCAUGUCGCCCCUCAAGUGAAGUAGAAUUUAAUUCAAUAAUGAAAUUGAACUACCCAGUAGAGGAAAUUUCUAGUUUUUUUGUAUAAUUUCCACCUUAGCUUGCUCUUAGUAACCCCCCUCAGUCUCAUUAAAUAGUCGGAAAUGUAUAUUCUUAUGAAGACAUGAUCACGUUCUUCAAAUUUUGCAAUCCAACACUGUUUCUAGACAAAUAUACAAUCUGUCGGUUUGUAAUUGAGUAAAUAUGACAUUCACAAAAUAUAUCAAGGAGAACACACCUUGGUUCUGAAAGUGAAUGAUAAAUUAGUUAGGUAACAUAUGUGAAUGGUGCAAGUGCAGGUAUGGCCACCAAUUAACAUGAAGAAGUUCGAGACACUCUCAUACCUUCCUCCUCUCACCACCGAACAAUUGGCAAAGGAGGUCGACUACCUUCUCCGUUCCGGAUGGGUUCCUUGUCUGGAAUUCGAGUUGGAGGUAAGCACUUUCUUCCUACACAUUUUUCAUGUUCUCUGUUACAUGUUUCUUGACAUUGCUGAUGACAAUUGUGUGUUAAACCAAUAUGCAGCACGGUUUCGUGUACCGUGAGCACAACAAAUCUCCCGGAUACUAUGACGGACGAUACUGGGUUAUGUGGAAGCUUCCCAUGUUCGGGUGCACCGACUCAUCGCAGGUGUUGAAGGAGCUUGAUGAGUGCGUCAAGGAGUACCCCCAGGCGUACGUCCGUAUCAUCGGAUUCGACAACGUUCGCCAAGUCCAGUGCAUCAGUUUCAUUGCUCACCAGCCAGAAUGCUGAUCAAUCUGUCUGUUGAUUUCAUAUAUUUAUCAAUCUUGUUCGGCUCAUAUAUAAACUUCUUGCAAUCUCAUUUCAUUUCUUUCCGUUUUAAAUUUCUUACUUGUAUCUCCAACACAAGGAAAUUGGAACUAUAGAGGAUUAUAUGUAGCGAUUGUUGGUGAUUAUAUAUAUCUACUUGUUUGUUUUCCCUGCACCUUCUAAAUACUUGCAUCAUAUGCUUUCAUGUCGUGAUGUACUUUUUUAUAUAUCUCCGAUUCUCCAUGCAGUAAUUAACCACUACGGUCUUUUUACACCAACAAAUUAUAUGAUAACAUAUAGAAACAGUUCAUUGCUUCCGUAAUAUCUGCCUUGGUACAUGUUCUCUUGUAUCACUACAAAACCUUUCACGUCCAACAAUGUGAAAGCAAAUUCUCUGUAAUAGAAAUGGACAUCUGCUAGCGACAUUUCAGAUAAUAAUAAAGUGUACUUAUGCACCAUCUGGUUGGAAGGAAUGAACGGGAAAAACAUGAACAAAAUCAAAGGUAAACGAGAAGUAUACAAGAGUGAAGAGUGAUGAAGAACUAGAAAGUGCAGACUUUAUUAUGAGUUUCACAAUAUAAUGAGUAAAAUAUAGGAAUGAUCAUUUAUCCCUAUAUUGGUAAGAUUGAGAUAUUAGUUUUUUUUUGUGUGCCAAACUAGUACAAAUUUCAUUUCAUUCUCCCUAAACGUAAUUCUUCCAACAAAAUGGGGCAUUACAUAAAGGUAUAAAGAUGAGGAGAUUAAAGAUUGACAGCUGCGAUAAGGGAAGGUAUGGAAAACAUGUGUAACUAUAUAAAUGUCGAACACCAAUAAGAUCCAAAUAACUCAGAUAACAUCCAAACUCAGUAACAAAUUGGUUAACAGAUAAAAUUCAGAAGCGAAUGCAAAAUAGUUUAUAAAAUUAGAUUCUAAGAUUCAAAAUUUCUAGUAUUCAGAUUAUAUGCAGAUGAAAGAGGAAGGGAGAUUUAUUGAAUAAUUUAGGCUUGACAAAACACAAUAAAAUGAUACACAUAGACUAGUAUACUCUAAUACUUAAUGAGCAGCAUAUAUUCUUAUUCUUAACUACCGUCUAUUCUAUUAUAUCAAAGAAACAUAAAUUAUUGCAAAGCUGUAAAUUCACAUUAAGAAGCUUAAACAAAUUACACAACUAGAAAUCAACCACUCAAAUUGGAUAUAAUUGGAUAAAUAUCUAAAGAGAUCAUAACUAAGAACCCUAAUUUCAAAGUUAUAAAUGUAUGUAUAUAAAUGAUUCAAAAAUCAGAACUCUGUAACACAAAAAAGCUAGCUGAACUGAGAUGAAGUAGAAAGCAGCAACAAAACAUUUAUGAAUUAAAUAUCUAAAGCUGAUCUAAUUACAAACAUCAACUCACAGUUAUCAAGAGGGGUGUAUUGGAUUGGGAUUUUAAAUCAUUUUUUUGCAUUCAUGAAAUCCGAGGGUAUUCGAUUGAGAUUAUUUGAAAUGCAUUAAAAUCUUGGGGUAUUCAAUUGGGAUUUUGAAUUAUGCUACAAAAUCUGGUGGUAUUCAAUUGGGAUUUUAAAUUAUGCUUUAAAAUCCGGUGGUAUUCAAUUCGGAUUGUUUAAAAUCCAUUAAAAUCUGAUGGUAUUCAAAUGUUGUCGGAUUUUUUUUCAUUUCAUAAAAUGGUGGAUUUUGUGGCAUUGUUCGAUGUAUUUUAAGUUUUAUGAAAUCCCACCAAAAUCAAUGGGAUUUUGAAGCAUUGUGCUUAAAUCCUAUCAACUCUGCGACAUUUCAUCAAGAAUCCGCACAAAAUCAAAAUCACAUGCAAUCCAUUAAAAUCCAUAGACUAAAAACAAUCCAUUAAAAUCUCAAUCGAAUACACCCCCGCAAUUUAUUAAUCAGAUGAGAGGAAGGAAGGGAGAGGGUCAGAGGGAGAGGGAGAGGGAGAGAGAGAGAGAGAGAGGAGUUACAGUGCUACGGCGACGUUCAGCGGCGAUGGAGAAGCCAAAAGCGACCAAGCAUAGUAUUAUUACAAGAAGAUGAACGAGAGAUGAGCCUUUCCCUGCCCCCAUUAUUGUUUCUAAGGGCAUCUUUGAUCACAAUUUCAAGCUUCAUAUUUUUUUCACUUUUAAUUUUAUAGAUAGAUUAAUCAAUCUCCAAUCAUCCAUUUAUCUUCCUAUGUAAAGUCAUUUACUAGAUAAAUUAUAUUAUUUUAUAAAAAAAAAUUAAAUAACGAAAUAUAUGAUCUUUCUCGGAUGAAGAUAACUUGCAAAUUUAAUGGUAUAGUUUAGAAAUUGGGGUUGAGAAGUACCAGUAGUUAUGCUAUAUUUACCUGAUGAUCUCGUAUCGUAACUUUUUUUACACGUGGGAUUUUUUUGCUUACAGCUCAUACUCUAUAACACACUUCCGCCAUUUCACAUGUGACUUCAUCUUUUGACCAGGGUUCUGUAAAUAGAAUUUUGAGCAAGAUCCCCUUAAUACAUAACUGAAUAAACAACACUCGUAGAGAUGAAUUCUGCUGGCGGAACUAGGGAAGAAACCCUAGCUUAGUCAAAGUUUUUUUUUUCUUCCAGAUAUUUGUUUUUUUUCAGAUAUUUUUUUAUUUGAGCUCUUAAAAAUAACAGUGAACCAAUAAAAAGUAUUUAUUGUGCAAAUUUUAAUUCUAGAUUAUUUUGAUUCAUGUCAUAUUGUCAUUGACUAACAGGCCAAAGUCAUUUUGUUAAUGGGCUCUAUUUUCUUGACCAAAAUCAUACUGUUUCCCCUACUAUUAUCCUGAGCCCAUGUUUUCAAAUUUCAAUUACGCCCAACCACCAGUCCAGAGUAGUUGUUGUUGGGCCACAAGGUAACCAUCCAAUGUCUAAACUAAUCAUAGUCCAAAUAAAAUUUUUUCAUAAAAACUGCGUGUACGUGAAUCCAGGGCAGAGGACUGAACAUGACUCCACUUGAGUUGAGCAAGAAAACCGCAAUCAUAUAUCUUUGAUUUUUAAAAUUGAAAACCGCAACCGUCAAUCGGGGUCGGUUUCGGUUUCGGUUUAAGAAACUUCGAUUCGGUUAAUAGUCGGCUCGGUUUCGAUUACAAAAUCGACAAAUAUAAGAAUGAAAAAUAGUACACAAACGAGACAAAUUAAUGCACGUAAUCUAGACAUAAUAAUUAAUAUAAUAUUAAAAUUUAACAAAAGUAACCGUAUUUUAUUUAAAACACUCUUGCCAGUAAUAUAAAACUAGUCUUAGUCAGAAUUUUCAUACAGAAUACGAAUCAGAACUUCCGGCUGAUUGGCUUUUUUAACACAUGCUUCAUGAAGAUUGAGAAAAUGUGACAGGGAAAAUAGGAAAUACAGAUUGGCAGUGGCCAGUCAGCAUGAGAUAUUCACUGAACAUCAAAUAUUAACAUAGACGGAUGUUUCUGUAAGUGUUAGAAUAGAUUUAUUAUAUUUAUUACAUAUUACAUAUAUUAUUUAUUAUUAUUUUAAUAACCGGUUCCGUUUGGUUUUUAUUGGUUCGGUUGGGAGGUAUAACCGGAACCAAACCGUUUAAAUCAGAUCAAUUUUUAAUUUUUCGGUUUCUAAUUGGUUUUUUUGAGUUUUUCCAAAUUUCGAUUCGUUUUGAUUUUAAAUCGGUUUUUUGCUAAGUCCUAAAUUAAGGUAUGGGUUCAAUUAUAGACAAGGUUAAGCUUACUUUUUAAAAAGUCUAACAUCACAAGUAAAUGGUUCACAAGUAAAUGGUCUUAAAACUAUAAAGAAACCAGGAUUGAAGCUCAAAAAUUAUCACCACUACACCCUUUUUUCGUGGUGCAACAAAUUUGGCCUAAAUCAAACGCAAAUCAAACGCAUUUAUACAAGACAAAUGACAGUCUUAAUAUAGGAUUACCCCAUUUUGGUUCAACCAUGAACACUGUUUGAACUAUGCGAUAGUUUCUUUACUAAAAUAUACUUCAGACUCUGGAACUGGAAGGACUAUGGGCCACUUAAAUGCAGCAUAUAUCUUGCAAUUUGAGCUCGAUAAUGGCAAAUUCCAAAUGCAAUCUAUCCACACAUUACACUCAAGUGCGAAAGAAUGAUCCAUGUAUUUUAAGGGUUUUGGUUCCUGGCAUGUGUACAUCAGGGAGUACUUAUAUAACAUACUGAUUUUGGAUCGUUGGAUGAUAUAUGCAUCUAACGGACAUAAUUAUAAAAAAAAUUCGUCAUGCUCAAUUUUUUUUUAUUUGUUUUUUUGCAUAUGAUAUGUAACUUGAAUAAUAAGAGGAAGGGGGAAAGUGAUGCAACUGCAAUUGAAGAAGUCAGUAGUCACUUAUUUAAAUUUCAAAGUACAAAGCCCAAAUAAGCAAUUUCCAAAGAGCUAAGCAAUGAAGGGCCAAGAAAUGGCUAGCUACUGCUAAAGAAAGCAAGUCCUCAUUCCUUGAUCAGAAGAGAUAAGGCAACCGCUCUCAUGCCACGUGUCAACUCAAUAAGAGUGUUUAAUGAUAAGGCAACCAAUCCAAAUUGCUCACACUGUGUGGCUACCAUGUUGCCUUGUCAACUUCACUGUAAUUCAAUGGUCAGAAAAAUUCUGAACUUUAGGAGGUGAAUUGGGAACCAUUGGAUCAGCAGGUUAAACGAUAAUGAGAUGAAAUGCCUAUAUAUUGGAUAGGUGAAGGAACAGAAGCAAGCCUCUCAAACACAAGAGAAGAAAGUAAAAGAACAAGAAGAGAGUAUUAGUACUCAUGGCUUCUUCAAUGAUAUCAUCAGUAGCACCGGUUACCCGUGCAUCCCCUGCUCAGGCUAACAUGGUCGCGCCUUUCACCGGCCUCAAGUCCAUCGCAUCAUUCCCCGUCACCCGAAAGCUUGAGAAUGACAUUACCUCUAUUACCAGCAACGGAGGAAGAGUUCAAUGCAUGAAGGUAUAUAUCUAUACUACUUAAUACUCAGAUAUAUUAUGUGCUAAUGAGGAACCAGUAUAACAUGGCAGAACAUUUCUUAGUUAGUUAUUGCUCAUUUGCUCUCAAAGUAGCACAAUUCUAAGUCAGAUAAAGCAGUCCUAGGUAACUUUAGAGUGAGUAACUUCAGAAUUUUCCUUGAAUAUGUCAAUAAUAUACAAAAAUUAUGUCAACACCUCGAUUAAAAGAUUGUUUUGCUUGUAUUUUCCUCCUGAGCUGAUCUGAGAAAUUUUGUUCUCAAGUCAAACAAUUAGAGACUUUAGCUCAAGAGAAAUGUCACCCCCUGGCAUUGUAGCCUGCGGGAUGUCCUCUAUAUUUUACCAUAGUAACCAUGUCGCCCCUCAAGUGAAGUAGAAUUUAAUUCAAUAAUGAAAUUGAACUACCCAGUAGAGGAAAUUUCUAGUUUUUUUGUAUAAUUUCCACCUUAGCUUGCUCUUAGUAACCCCCCUCAGUCUCAUUAAAUAGUCGGAAAUGUAUAUUCUUAUGAAGACAUGAUCACGUUCUUCAAAUUUUGCAAUCCAACACUGUUUCUAGACAAAUAUACAAUCUGUCGGUUUGUAAUUGAGUAAAUAUGACAUUCACAAAAUAUAUCAAGGAGAACACACCUUGGUUCUGAAAGUGAAUGAUAAAUUAGUUAGGUAACAUAUGUGAAUGGUGCAAGUGCAGGUAUGGCCACCAAUUAACAUGAAGAAGUUCGAGACACUCUCAUACCUUCCUCCUCUCACCACCGAACAAUUGGCAAAGGAGGUCGACUACCUUCUCCGUUCCGGAUGGGUUCCUCGUCUGGAAUUCGAGUUGGAGGUAAGCACUUUCUUCCUACAUAUUUUUCAUGUUCUCUGUUACAUGUUUCUUGACAUUGCUGAUGACAAUUGUGUGUUAAACCAAUAUGCAGCACGGUUUCGUGUACCGUGAGCACAACAAAUCUCCCGGAUACUAUGACGGACGAUACUGGGUUAUGUGGAAGCUUCCCAUGUUCGGGUGCACCGACUCAUCGCAGGUGUUGAAGGAGCUUGAUGAGUGCGUCAAGGAGUACCCCCAGGCGUACGUCCGUAUCAUCGGAUUCGACAACGUUCGCCAAGUCCAGUGCAUCAGUUUCAUUGCUCACCAGCCAGAAUGCUGAUCAAUCUGUCUGUUGAUUUCAUAUAUUUAUCAAUCUUGUUCGGCUCAUAUAUAAACUUCUUGCAAUCUCAUUUCAUUUCUUUCCGUUUUAAAUUUCUUACUUGUAUCUCCAACACAAGGAAAUUGGAACUAUAGAGGAUUAUAUGUAGCGAUUGUUGGUGAUUAUAUAUAUCUACUUGUUUGUUUUCCCUGCACCUUCUAAAUACUUGCAUCAUAUGCUUUCAUGUCGUGAUGUACUUUUUUAUAUAUCUCCGAUUCUCCAUGCAGUAAUUAACCACUACGGUCUUUUUACACCAACAAAUUAUAUGAUAACAUAUAGAAACAGUUCAUUGCUUCCGUAAUAUCUGCCUUGGUACAUGUUCUCUUGUAUCACUACAAAACCUUUCACGUCCAACAAUGUGAAAGCAAAUUCUCUGUAAUAGAAAUGGACAUCUGCUAGCGACAUUUCAGAUAAUAAUAAAGUGUACUUAUGCACCAUCUGGUUGGAAGGAAUGAACGGGAAAAACAUGAACAAAAUCAAAGGUAAACGAGAAGUAUACAAGAGUGAAGAGUGAUGAAGAACUAGAAAGUGCAGACUUUAUUAUGAGUUUCACAAUAUAAUGAGUAAAAUAUAGGAAUGAUCAUUUAUCCCUAUAUUGGUAAGAUUGAGAUAUUAGUUUUUUUUUGUGUGCCAAACUAGUACAAAUUUCAUUUCAUUCUCCCUAAACGUAAUUCUUCCAACAAAAUGGGGCAUUACAUAAAGGUAUAAAGAUGAGGAGAUUAAAGAUUGACAGCUGCGAUAAGGGAAGGUAUGGAAAACAUGUGUAACUAUAUAAAUGUCGAACACCAAUAAGAUCCAAAUAACUCAGAUAACAUCCAAACUCAGUAACAAAUUGGUUAACAGAUAAAAUUCAGAAGCGAAUGCAAAAUAGUUUAUAAAAUUAGAUUCUAAGAUUCAAAAUUUCUAGUAUUCAGAUUAUAUGCAGAUGAAAGAGGAAGGGAGAUUUAUUGAAUAAUUUAGGCUUGACAAAACACAAUAAAAUGAUACACAUAGACUAGUAUACUCUAAUACUUAAUGAGCAGCAUAUAUUCUUAUUCUUAACUACCGUCUAUUCUAUUAUAUCAAAGAAACAUAAAUUAUUGCAAAGCUGUAAAUUCACAUUAAGAAGCUUAAACAAAUUACACAACUAGAAAUCAACCACUCAAAUUGGAUAUAAUUGGAUAAAUAUCUAAAGAGAUCAUAACUAAGAACCCUAAUUUCAAAGUUAUAAAUGUAUGUAUAUAAAUGAUUCAAAAAUCAGAACUCUGUAACACAAAAAAGCUAGCUGAACUGAGAUGAAGUAGAAAGCAGCAACAAAACAUUUAUGAAUUAAAUAUCUAAAGCUGAUCUAAUUACAAACAUCAACUCACAGUUAUCAAGAGGGGUGUAUUGGAUUGGGAUUUUAAAUCAUUUUUUUGCAUUCAUGAAAUCCGAGGGUAUUCGAUUGAGAUUAUUUGAAAUGCAUUAAAAUCUUGGGGUAUUCAAUUGGGAUUUUGAAUUAUGCUACAAAAUCUGGUGGUAUUCAAUUGGGAUUUUAAAUUAUGCUUUAAAAUCCGGUGGUAUUCAAUUCGGAUUGUUUAAAAUCCAUUAAAAUCUGAUGGUAUUCAAAUGUUGUCGGAUUUUUUUUCAUUUCAUAAAAUGGUGGAUUUUGUGGCAUUGUUCGAUGUAUUUUAAGUUUUAUGAAAUCCCACCAAAAUCAAUGGGAUUUUGAAGCAUUGUGCUUAAAUCCUAUCAACUCUGCGACAUUUCAUCAAGAAUCCGCACAAAAUCAAAAACACAUGCAAUCCAUUAAAAUCCAUAGACUAAAAACAAUCCAUUAAAAUCUCAAUCGAAUACACCCCCGCAAUUUAUUAAUCAGAUGAGAGGAAGGAAGGGAGAGGGUCAGAGGGAGAGGGAGAGGGAGAGAGAGAGAGAGAGAGGAGUUACAGUGCUACGGCGACGUUCAGCGGCGAUGGAGAAGCCAAAAGCGACCAAGCAUAGUAUUAUUACAAGAAGAUGAACGAGAGAUGAGCCUUUCCCUGCCCCCAUUAUUGUUUCUAAGGGCAUCUUUGAUCACAAUUUCAAGCUUCAUAUUUUUUUCACUUUUAAUUUUAUAGAUAGAUUAAUCAAUCUCCAAUCAUCCAUUUAUCUUCCUAUGUAAAGUCAUUUACUAGAUAAAUUAUAUUAUUUUAUAAAAAAAAAUUAAAUAACGAAAUAUAUGAUCUUUCUCGGAUGAAGAUAACUUGCAAAUUUAAUGGUAUAGUUUAGAAAUUGGGGUUGAGAAGUACCAGUAGUUAUGCUAUAUUUACCUGAUGAUCUCGUAUCGUAACUUUUUUUACACGUGGGAUUUUUUUGCUUACAGCUCAUACUCUAUAACACACUUCCGCCAUUUCACAUGUGACUUCAUCUUUUGACCAGGGUUCUGUAAAUAGAAUUUUGAGCAAGAUCCCCUUAAUACAUAACUGAAUAAACAACACUCGUAGAGAUGAAUUCUGCUGGCGGAACUAGGGAAGAAACCCUAGCUUAGUCAAAGUUUUUUUUUUCUUCCAGAUAUUUGUUUUUUUUCAGAUAUUUUUUUAUUUGAGCUCUUAAAAAUAACAGUGAACCAAUAAAAAGUAUUUAUUGUGCAAAUUUUAAUUCUAGAUUAUUUUGAUUCAUGUCAUAUUGUCAUUGACUAACAGGCCAAAGUCAUUUUGUUAAUGGGCUCUAUUUUCUUGACCAAAAUCAUACUGUUUCCCCUACUAUUAUCCUGAGCCCAUGUUUUCAAAUUUCAAUUACGCCCAACCACCAGUCCAGAGUAGUUGUUGUUGGGCCACAAGGUAACCAUCCAAUGUCUAAACUAAUCAUAGUCCAAAUAAAAUUUUUUCAUAAAAACUGCGUGUACGUGAAUCCAGGGCAGAGGACUGAACAUGACUCCACUUGAGUUGAGCAAGAAAACCGCAAUCAUAUAUCUUUGAUUUUUAAAAUUGAAAACCGCAACCGUCAAUCGGGGUCGGUUUCGGUUUCGGUUUAAGAAACUUCGAUUCGGUUAAUAGUCGGCUCGGUUUCGAUUACAAAAUCGACAAAUAUAAGAAUGAAAAAUAGUACACAAACGAGACAAAUUAAUGCACGUAAUCUAGACAUAAUAAUUAAUAUAAUAUUAAAAUUUAACAAAAGUAACCGUAUUUUAUUUAAAACACUCUUGCCAGUAAUAUAAAACUAGUCUUAGUCAGAAUUUUCAUACAGAAUACGAAUCAGAACUUCCGGCUGAUUGGCUUUUUUAACACAUGCUUCAUGAAGAUUGAGAAAAUGUGACAGGGAAAAUAGGAAAUACAGAUUGGCAGUGGCCAGUCAGCAUGAGAUAUUCACUGAACAUCAAAUAUUAACAUAGACGGAUGUUUCUGUAAGUGUUAGAAUAGAUUUAUUAUAUUUAUUACAUAUUACAUAUAUUAUUUAUUAUUAUUUUAAUAACCGGUUCCGUUUGGUUUUUAUUGGUUCGGUUGGGAGGUAUAACCGGAACCAAACCGUUUAAAUCAGAUCAAUUUUUAAUUUUUCGGUUUCUAAUUGGUUUUUUUGAGUUUUUCCAAAUUUCGAUUCGUUUUGAUUUUAAAUCGGUUUUUUGCUAAGUCCUAAAUUAAGGUAUGGGUUCAAUUAUAGACAAGGUUAAGCUUACUUUUUAAAAAGUCUAACAUCACAAGUAAAUGGUUCACAAGUAAAUGGUCUUAAAACUAUAAAGAAACCAGGAUUGAAGCUCAAAAAUUAUCACCACUACACCCUUUUUUCGUGGUGCAACAAAUUUGGCCUAAAUCAAACGCAAAUCAAACGCAUUUAUACAAGACAAAUGACAGUCUUAAUAUAGGAUUACCCCAUUUUGGUUCAACCAUGAACACUGUUUGAACUAUGCGAUAGUUUCUUUACUAAAAUAUACUUCAGACUCUGGAACUGGAAGGACUAUGGGCCACUUAAAUGCAGCAUAUAUCUUGCAAUUUGAGCUCGAUAAUGGCAAAUUCCAAAUGCAAUCUAUCCACACAUUACACUCAAGUGCGAAAGAAUGAUCCAUGUAUUUUAAGGGUUUUGGUUCCUGGCAUGUGUACAUCAGGGAGUACUUAUAUAACAUACUGAUUUUGGAUCGUUGGAUGAUAUAUGCAUCUAACGGACAUAAUUAUAAAAAAAAUUCGUCAUGCUCAAUUUUUUUUUAUUUGUUUUUUUGCAUAUGAUAUGUAACUUGAAUAAUAAGAGGAAGGGGGAAAGUGAUGCAACUGCAAUUGAAGAAGUCAGUAGUCACUUAUUUAAAUUUCAAAGUACAAAGCCCAAAUAAGCAAUUUCCAAAGAGCUAAGCAAUGAAGGGCCAAGAAAUGGCUAGCUACUGCUAAAGAAAGCAAGUCCUCAUUCCUUGAUCAGAAGAGAUAAGGCAACCGCUCUCAUGCCACGUGUCAACUCAAUAAGAGUGUUUAAUGAUAAGGCAACCAAUCCAAAUUGCUCACACUGUGUGGCUACCAUGUUGCCUUGUCAACUUCACUGUAAUUCAAUGGUCAGAAAAAUUCUGAACUUUAGGAGGUGAAUUGGGAACCAUUGGAUCAGCAGGUUAAACGAUAAUGAGAUGAAAUGCCUAUAUAUUGGAUAGGUGAAGGAACAGAAGCAAGCCUCUCAAACACAAGAGAAGAAAGUAAAAGAACAAGAAGAGAGUAUUAGUACUCAUGGCUUCUUCAAUGAUAUCAUCAGUAGCACCGGUUACCCGUGCAUCCCCUGCUCAGGCUAACAUGGUCGCGCCUUUCACCGGCCUCAAGUCCAUCGCAUCAUUCCCCGUCACCCGAAAGCUUGAGAAUGACAUUACCUCUAUUACCAGCAACGGAGGAAGAGUUCAAUGCAUGAAGGUAUAUAUCUAUACUACUUAAUACUCAGAUAUAUUAUGUGCUAAUGAGGAACCAGUAUAACAUGGCAGAACAUUUCUUAGUGAGUUAUUGCUUUCAAAGUAGCACAAUUUUAAGUCAGAUAAAGUAGUCCUAGGUAACUUUAGAGUGAGCAUAACUUUGGAAUUUUCCUUGAAUAUGUAAAUAAUUUACAAAUAUUAUGUCAACACUUCAAAUAAAAGAUGGUUUUGCUUGUAUUUUCCUCCCGAUCUGAUCUGAGAAAUUUUGUUGUCAAGUCAAACAAUUAGAUACUUUAGCUCAAGAGAAAUGUCACUCCCUGGCAAUCCUGGGGGAUAACUUCUAUAUUUUACCAUAGUAACAGGAGUUUGAGAGUCCAAGAUUCGCAGAAAACAUGUGUGUGUCAAUGUGUGAAAGCCUAAUCAUGUCGCCCCUCAAGUGAAGUAGAUUUUAAUUCAAAAUAGAGAUGUGUGAGAACCUAAUCAUGUCCAAGUUUUUUGUAUGAUUUUCACCUUAGCUUGCUCUCAGUAACCCCUCUCUUAGUCUCAUUAAACAGUGACUCUGAAAUGUAUAUUCUUUUAAAGACAUGAUCACGUUCUUCAAAUUUUGCAAUCCAACACUUUUUGUCAAAAAAUAUACUACAAUCUGUCGGUUUCUAAUCGAGUAAAUAUGACAUUCACAAAGUAUAUCACUGAGAACACACCAUGGUGUGAGAGUGAAUAAGAAAUUAGUUAGCUAACAUAUGUGAAUGGUGCAAGCGCAGGUAUGGCCACCAAUUAACAUGAAGAAGUUCGAGACACUCUCGUACCUUCCUCCUCUCACCACCGAACAAUUGGCAAAGGAGGUCGACUACCUUCUCCGUUCCGGAUGGGUUCCUUGUCUGGAAUUCGAGUUGGAGGUAACCACUUUCUUCCUACACAUUUUUCAUGUUCUCUGUUACAUGUUUCUUGACAUUGCUGAUGACAAUUGUGUGUUAAACCAAAAUGUAGCACGGUUUCGUGUACCGUGAGCACAACAAAUCCCCCGGAUACUAUG
rnacentral:lncRNA from 1 species